rnacentral:rRNA from 1 species
UACAGAGGUCCCAAGCGUUGUUCGGAUUCACUGGGCGUAAAGGGUGCGUAGGUGGCAGUGUAAGUCUGAUGUGAAAGCUUCGAGCUUAACUCGAAAAUGGCAUUGGAUGCUAUAUUGCUGGAGGUUUGGAGGGGGGACUGGAAUUCUCGGUGUAGCAGUGAAAUGCGUAGAUAUCGAGAGGAACACCGGUGGCGAAGGCGAGUCCCUGGACAACACCUGACACUGAGGCACGAAAGCUAGGGGAGCAAAAAGG